rnacentral:rRNA from 1 species
GACAGAGGGUGCAAACGUUGUUCGGAAUUACUGGGCGUAAAGGGCGCGUAGGCGGCCCGCUAAGUCGAACGUGAAAUCCCCGAGCUCAACUCGGGAACUGCGUCCGAUACUGGCGGGCUUGAAUCCGGGAGAGGGAUGCGGAAUUCCAGGUGUAGCGGUGAAAUGCGUAGAUAUCAAGAGGAACACCUGCGGCGAAGGCGGGUUGCUGGGCCGACACUGACGCUGAGGCGCGAAAGCCAGGGGAGCGAACGGG